CUUUGUAGAUAGCAGAGGGAAGGAAGAAAUAUAUGGGCUGUGUACAUGCUAUGUCAUAUAUCCAAGUGCCUGUGCCGCCCCUGACAAGAGCAUUUUACGCGGCAGUAGCCGUCAUCGCAUUCCGCAGACCGACAACCAUGAAGGGGACACUGCUUGCUUACAGUUUCCUUCUGCUUGGGCUCCUUAUCAGUACACCUUCAGGCAAGUGCUCGAAGUCGAGAGCAGGGUCAGAUAGUAAAUAGGCUUGUAUGAACUUCCAGUCUACGAACAGCUCAUCCCAAGCAAUCCUAAUCCACGGCGUCAUAAAAAAUACAGCAAAUAUCCGAAAUAUAGCCUUAGGACAUUCCACAACGACGUAUAUUUCGCCUCGCUUGAACCACAAGGAACUGUAAAAUUUUGUUCGCUAUGCUUCAUAAAACCAGUCAUAUGCACAGCACGACACUAUACACCACAAUACCACGUCAGCGAUGAAUAUUUAUAAAGCUAGUGUUGUGUAAACUUAGAAGAAUAGUGAGAAAAUAUUUCGGUCUUUUUUAAGUCAUUAGCGCUAGUAUUUUCUAUUAGUUCGGUCAUAUAGAUUUCGAUACCACUAGGAGUGUAGGAAUAAAUAUCGGGUAUCCACAGAUAUACUUGCGAACAAGUGUCCUUACUACACGUAUUAUCACCAGACUGCAUGCAAUUGCAUAUGCUUCAAUACCGAGCAACGUGUGUCUAUAGUUGCAGCGAUUGACACGAUGGCAUAACACUAGCAUGUCAUCCUCAGUUGAUGUCUCAAUUUCCUCAAAUCAUUAUAUUAAGCAGAAGUGGGACGCAUAAUUUUAAUUGUAUUUUUAUGUGAACUAUAGGAGGCUGCUUAUAUUCUAACAGUUGAUACAAGUAGAAAAAUAUUAAGAAAUAGUGCGCCAACACUACGAACGAAGGAAAUUUAGUAACGCUUCCUGGCAAUCAGUUUUGAUCAGGAUUAUAUAAAGAAGAAACACCCAUGAGGCGUAUUACAUGGUUUUACAUGAAUGAAGUCUCAUUGAAGUUUGUAGAGGUCGAUAGACGUUUCCUACCCAUGCAUCGUUGCAUAAGGUGCGCCGACAAAUCCGAAUGCUGUAUACCCACUCAUAAAUUCUUGCGACUUUAAGAAAAAAACAUAUUUCGAACAUAAACAAACUCAGUCGCAACAUAAGAAAUAUAAAAUUUCAGCCUCCGUUAGCUGUAUCUAUUUUAUUCUUUCUGUGUCGAGCAUUUUUCAAAGUGUAGCGUAAUCGUCUUUAAAAUCUUGUAGUGGCUACUUUGGCACCAUGGAUGGAUGGUCGGAAAUGUUUUAUUGUGUUUGAUUGGAACGUGCAUUCAGGUCCAUCGGAACGUAGCGGGCCACUCACACGACGGGACAGAAAGGCCUAGCCUCUCCGCCACGUCGCGGGCCCGUUGGACUGCCCAUAGUUCAGCUUCAAAAUCGGGACUGCGCGCUUCUGAGUGUUCCACAGAGUGCCCAAGCGGACAACAGUUUUCCUGCUUCAGCUUCCAAGGAACUUGCUCGUGUACUUGCUUGGAAAACUCCAACCCCUGCGAAUAUCUUCGGGGCAACACUUGUCCCGAAGGAUAUUUCCGCAGGUGCGUCAGUGACUCUCAGGGAUGUACUUGCAGAUGCGAUCUAUAAUGAAUGCCUUGGUCCAGGUGUCCGUCGGCCGUCUACAUGGUAUCGAUUCUUGAUGAGACAAGACUAUUCGACGACCUAACGAGAAACCAAGAAAAUAAAUUGUGCAUCGUUGCUCGUUCCA